rnacentral:rRNA from 1 species
GAUGAACGCUAGCGGCAGGCCUAACACAUGCAAGUCGAGGGGCAGCACAGGUAGCAAUACUGGGUGGCGACCGGCGGAUUGGUGCGUAACGCGUAUGCAACCUACCAUUGAUUGGGGCAUAGCCCGAAGAAAUUCGGAUUAAUACUCCAUAAUAUUCAUCAAAGGCAAUCUUUUAUGAAUUAAAGCUUUUGCGAUCAAUGAUGGGCAUGCGUGACAUUAGUUAGUUGGUGAGGUAACGGCUCACCAAAACGAUGAUGUCUAGGGGUUCUGAGAGGAUGGUCCCCCACACUGGUACUGAGGCACGGACCAGACUCCUACGGGAGGCAGCAGUGAGGAAUAUUGGUCAAUGGGCGCAAGCCUGAACCAGCCAUCCCGCGUGCAGGAAGACGGCCCUAUGGGUUGUAAACUGCUUUUCCAGGGAGAGAAACUUACGCACGUGUUGCGUGACUGACGGUACCCUGGGAAUAAGCAUCGGCUAACU